AGUGAACGCUGGCGGUAGGCCUAACACAUGCAAGUCGAACGGCAGCACAGUAAGAGCUUGCUCUUACGGGUGGCGAGUGGCGGACGGGUGAGGAAUACAUCGGAAUCUACUUUUUCGUGGGGGAUAACGUAGGGAAACUUACGCUAAUACCGCAUACGACCUACGGGUGAAAGCAGGGGAUCUUCGGACCUUGCGCGAUUGAAUGAGCCGAUGUCGGAUUAGCUAGUUGGCGGGGUAAAGGCCCACCAAGGCGACGACCCGUAGCUGGUCUGAGAGGAUGAUCAGCCACACUAGAACUGAGACACGGUCCAGACUCCUACGGGAGGCAGCAGUGGGGAAUAUUAGACAAUGGGCGCAAGCCUGAUCCAGCCAUACCGCGUGGGUGAAGAAGGCCUUCGGGUUGUAAAGCCCUUUUGUUGGGAAAGAAAAGCAGCAGGUUAAUACCCCGCUGUUCUGACGGUACCCAAAGAAUAAGCACCGGCUAACUUCGUG
rnacentral:rRNA from 1 species